rnacentral:rRNA from 1 species
GACGAACCAUGCAAACGUUAUUCGGAUUCACUGGGCUUAAAGCGUGCGUAGGCGGUCUUGUUAGUCAGGUGUGAAAGCCCUCAGCCUAACUGAGGAAUUGCGCUUGAUACUGCAUGACUAGAGAAUGAUAGAGGUGGGUGGAACUGAUGGUGGAGCGGUGAAAUGCGUUGAUAUCAUCAGGAACACCAGUGGCGAAGGCGACCCACUGGGUCAUUUCUGACGCUGAGGUACGAAGCUAAGGGUAAGCCGAACGGG